rnacentral:lncRNA from 1 species
GUCAUCUGUAGCACUAUUUGUAAAUAGUCUGGACUCAGUGGAACCUGCUGUCUUAUGAAUAUAAUAUUUUUAACAAGACAGAAACAUGUUCAAAAGUUUGUGUAAAAUUUUAUGAUAUAGCAAGUGAAGAUCGAAAGAAAAGGCUGGAGUUUUUGAAGAAAGGAACACAGCUGAAUUAUCAAUGUCACUGUUUGAAUUCAACAGAAGCAAUACUUUCUACCUCUUCGACCACACUGAUAUUACCGUUACAUAUCCUGGGGAAAGUGAAACAAAUUGGGCUAUUGCAAGUUUGGUUACUGCUUGACUUGAUCUCAAAAGGAAAACAAACAUAUCAAGUGGGAUUCUAGAUGGGAUUACAUUUUGGAGUCUAUGCCUCAUCCCCACAUCCAGUGGCUUAGGUUAGGUAUCCAGUUUGCACAAACCAGAUUCCACGUCAGAUUCCUCAACAGAUUUUCUCUAGAAAAUGACUUUUGGCAUCAUAUCAGUGGCAUUUUCCCUUUUGGCUGUAUUUUUAUUCAACUCUUUUUCCUUCUGAACAGUGUUUGGAACAGUCGGAUUUUUUUCCUGCUUCUGUUUUAUUAUCAAAAUCUACAGUGUGGUGAAAGUGGAUUAAAGAAUGUCCCCAGAGGCUUCCAGGCACAUCACCCUUGCUUUUGAAUAUACAUCUGUAUCUAUA